rnacentral:lncRNA from 1 species
GGCAAUGCUCUCUACCGUAUUGUACUCUAUAUUUAUCAUGGUUUCCCCUGUGCCUCUCAUUAGCCUGGCCAAGCAAUGACACCAGUAUUUGAGUGAACCCAUGUUAUUAAAACUGACUGGGAUCAGAAGCACUGAGCUGCCCAAGGAAAGCAGUCAGGCCUCCUGGCUGGGUUCCCCACUAGGCAGGUGCUGGAUGUGGUAAGACCCGUAGGCAUUGGAUAGGAAGAAGGAGAUUGCAUGCCUAGAGCAAGGAUGGACCACUAAUAAACCUAUAACAGGCUAUGGUGACAGGAAUUCCUCACAGUCAAGCUGGUGAUUUGGGGUAAUCUGUGACAAGAGGACAUUCUCAUGCUUGGCAUGAAACGUGUAUGGUAGGUAAACAAGCUUAUAAGGCACAGAUAUGAAGCCGAGUCCAGUCGCCUAAAUAGGGUUGGAAGAGUAACCUUUGCAAGCACUAACACCUCUGUGAUAUUUACUUAUGCUAUUAUGAUGUCAUCAUUAUACUUCUCUGCACAGGGAUAUUGAGACCUGACCCUAACCCUUGGGCUGAACUAGCUAAAGUGUUACUUCAAGUGAAUAAUGACCAGGAACUUUAUAUCCCUGUCUCUCCCAGGAGACUUCAAAGGGGUAGCUGCUCUGCUGAAUGGCCCAAACCAUAAGAUUCGUCCUAGGCCUUGCUUGUGACUGCUUGCCACAGGAGGCUACCCAGAGAGGAGGAAUAUCAGAGACUAAAUACAGCCGUGGGCCUCAUACCAAGGUGAUCUGGGCCCACCCAUAGCUGGUA